rnacentral:lncRNA from 1 species
UAGCUGCAAAAAUACCUCUAGGUGUUCCGGACACUAUGUGCCUAUAGCUGGCUACAGGAUCACAGCAGCCAAAAGCCCUCCAGGAAGAAGUAUGGAAGCAGCUUUAUUGAGGUUGCCAGCAAGGAUUACGGCUUCUUUGACGCAUGAACGUUUUGGAAUUUAUGAGGAUUUUAAUGAGGAUUUUCUGAAAAAAAUAAAAAUUGUUAUGUUCUGGGCAUUCAUCUAUCCUCUCAUCAGCUUUUGAUCUACCACAUCUUGGGAUAUGAAUAAUGUUUCUGUUAAUGAGCCAGCCUCUGGGAACCAUCACUCUCCUAUUGCUUAAGAUUUCCAGUUGUUACCUUAGAAUUUUGCAACAUAAAUUUACAAUUAAUCCAAACCUGCUUUCAAAUAACACCAUAUCACCACGUAGAUACUGCUGAUAUUUACUGAUACAAUUGGCUCUGGGUCGAACUUGAAGCUGCAGCAGAAGAAGAUAUGGAAAAACUAAAAUCUUCCUCAAGCAAAUAUUAGAGUAAUUGUCAUUAUCUCACCAUGCUCUUUUCCUGGUUAUAAAUAUGCUAGAAAACAUUCUUACUGUAAUUUUAAUAAAGUAUUUCUCUAUGUUUU